rnacentral:rRNA from 1 species
CCUACGGGCGGCAGCAGUGGGGAAUAUUGGGCAAUGGGCGCAAGCCUGACCCAGCAACGCCGCGUGAAGGAAGAAGGCUUUCGGGUUGGAAACUUCUUUUAAGAGGGAAGAGCAGAAGACGGUACCUCCUGAAUAAGCUACGGCUAACUACGUGCCAGCAGCCGCGGUAAUACGUAGGUGGCCAGCGUUGUCCGGAUUUACUGGGUGUAAAGGGCGUGCAGGCGGGAAGACAAGUCAGAUGUGAAAUUCCGCGGCUCAACCGCGGAACUGCAAUUGAGACUGGUUUUCUUGAGUACCGGGGAGGUAAGCGGAAUUCGUGGUGUAGCGGUGAAAUGCGUAGAUAUAAGGAAGAACACC